GACGUAGGGUGCAAGCGUUGUCCGGAAUUAUUGGGCGUAAAGAGUUCGUAGGCGGUUAUUUAAGUCUGGUGUUAAAGACGGGAGCUCAACUCCCGCAUGGCAUUGGAAACUGGAUAGCUAGAGUGUGGCAGAGGUAUCGGGAAUUCCUGGUGUAGCGGUGAAAUGCGUAGAUAUCAGGAGGAACACCGGUGGCGAAAGCGCGAUACUGGGCCAUAACUGACGCUGAGGAACGAAAGCCAGGGGAGCAAAAGGG
rnacentral:misc_RNA from 1 species